GAUGAAGAACGCAGUAAAAUGCGAUAAGUAAUGUGAAUUGCAGAAUUCAGUGAAUCAUCGAAUCUUUGAACGCACAUUGCGCCCGCCAGUAUUCUGGCGGGCAUGCCUGUUCGAGCGUCAUUUCAACCCUCAAGCACAGCUUGGUGUUGGGACUCGCGUUAAUUCGCGUUCCUCAAAUUGAUUGGCGGUCACGUCGAGCUUCCAUAGCGUAGUAGUAAAACCCUCGUUACUGGUAAUCGUCGCGGCCACGCCGUUAAAACCCAACUUCUGAAUGUUGACCUCGGAUCAGGUAGGAAUACCCGCUGAACUUAAGCAUAUCAAUAAGCGGAGGA
rnacentral:misc_RNA from 1 species